AUAAACGUUUUGAUGAGAUGAGUAAGUCGGUAUUCAGGCCUAGAGAGCUGCCAGUACGGGUGCAAGGCAGUCCGGAUAGUUGAUUGAAGCAUGGUCUCUAAAUGGUGCCAGUGAGCUGCGGUGAGCUGACAACGGGUCGUAUCGUUACUAUACGUGAGUUCAUAACUCAGUGAGUCUAAUCGUGCGAACGGUUGGAAAACUAAGGUGGUAUCACGACUAGCAGUCGUCCUUUUU
rnacentral:ncRNA from 1 species